UCGGUAUGGAGCGAGCGAGCGACUACGCUCUUUUAAUGAAAGCCAGGCUAAUGAAGUGCGAGGUGGCAAAAUAUCUUCUUCAAUUCCACCCCUAACACCGUAGGCCACCUCCGACGCUGUCACCUGAGCUGGAAACCAAAAUUAGGCGAUGCUUCAAGUGUGUUUGCGGUGAAAAUUCUGAUGGCAGUUGCAGGAUUCUGCCAGAGAGCAAAAGUGGGGCAGUGCAGAGAGUAGACCAGGACGCCAGCGGAAGGACCAGCUGCAAGCCUGGAUUUCUAACCGGCACCACAGUCAAAUUUUGAUUCCAGGGAAUUGCAAAAUGUUCUUCAAAAGGUUACAAUCAACCACUACAACACACGUAUCACUAUACCUUUACUCUCCAAUGUCUAUGUUUCCAUUUUCAACCCUAGAAAUUCCGUCAAAUUAUAUUUCCAACCAACAAUCAGAAACCCAUAUUAAAAAUCCCAAUAACAUCGAUGAAUCCUGUAUACUGAAUCAGCUCUCAGAUAUUUUACCAAUCAACCGAGAUCCAUUAAUUUUCCAGCCAAUUACCGGAAGUUUACCGGACAAACAUUUAGAAAUUAGGGCCGUCGAUGAUUUUUUAGCUCCUGAAGAGAAAUUACGGGGAAUUUUUCUGCAUAAACUUCGAAGUAAGACUGCAAUUAGAAACGCAUUAAGCAGUGUUGGCGUGGAAGUAAGCAUGGACGUUUUCUCAGAAGUAGUGAAUAGAGGGAAUUUGUGUGGUGAGGCGAUGGUAAUGUUCUUUGAUUGGGCUAUCGAGCAGCCUAAUAUACCUAACGAUAUAUGUACUUAUCAUAUAAUUCUUAAAGCAUUAGGCAGGAGAAAAUUUUUUAUGUAUAUGAUGGAAAUAUUAAAUGAUAUGAGAGCUAAGGAAGUGAACCCUAAUCCCAAAACCCUUUUCAUUGUUCUGGAUAGUUAUGUUCGUGCUCGACAAGUUUCUAAAGCUAUUAAAAUUUUCGGGGAACUGGAGAAAUAUGGUUUAAAAGUUAAUGUGGAGACGUUGAAUGUUAUUUUGCAGUGCUUAUGUCAACGAUCAUUUGUGGGCACUGCAAGUUCACUAUUUAACAGAAUGAAAGAGAAAGUACAAGCUGACAGCGAGACUUAUAAUAUUAUCAUAGGUGGGUGGUCCAAGUUUGGCAGAGUUAGUGAAGUUGAGAAAUUCUUGAAAGUUAUGGUGAACGAUGGAGUUGAGCAUGAUUGUGUAACUUACAGUUAUAUUCUUGAGGGUUUGGGGAGAUCUGGUCGUGUUGAUAACGCUGUUAAGAUCUUUGAGUACUUUGAGGAGAAACGAACUAUGCUAAGUACUGGGGUUUAUAAUGCAAUGGUUUUUAAUUUUAUUGCUGUUGGAGAUAUUGAUGAAGGCUUGAAAUAUUAUAAGCGGAUGUUGAGUAAUAAUUAUGAGCCAAAUAUGGAUACUUAUGCUAGAAUAAUAGCUGCAUUUCUUAAAGUUAAAAGAGUUUCAGACGCUAUCGAACUGUUUGAUGAAAUGCUAGCUCGAGGGAUCAUUCCUACAGCAGGUACUCUCACCACGUUCAUUGAACCUUUGUGUGGCUAUGGUCCGCCUCAUGCUGCCUUGAUGAUAUAUAAUAAGGCAAGAAAAGUUGGAUGCAGAAUAUCACUGACUGCCUAUAAGCUCUUGCUUAUGCGGUUAUCUAGGUUUGGGAAGUGUGGGAUGCUGCUGAAUAUAUGGGAGGAGAUGCAAGAAAGUGGCUAUUCUUGUGAUAUGCAGGCUUAUGAGUAUGUUAUCAAUGGCCUCUGUAACACGGGGCAGCUUGAAACUGCUGUCCUAGUCAUGGAGGAAUCUCUGCACAAGGGAUUUUUCCCUAGCAAGCUUAUUUGUAGCAAACUGAAUAAUAAACUGCUGGCUUCAAAUAAAGUAGAAAUAGCAUAUAAGCUUUUCCUGAAGUUAAAGAAUGCUCGUGUCAAUGAAAAUGCACAAAGAUAUUGGCGGGCUAAAGGGUGGCACUUUUGAUCUUUUGCAUCUGUAGGUUGGUGAUGGCAGCUGUUUCAGGUAAUAUUUAUCUGGAUUCUUAUUGAAUAAGAAGGAUCAUCUUUCUUCAAGUUCUAUGGUCCACACGGAAGCUUAGAUAUAACAAUUGAACCACAACUACUGACUAUCAGACGAAGGCACUAGUCUCUCAAGCUUGCUGCUUUACUAUAAGCACGAUUCGGAGAUCUUGGGUUCAUGGCUAUCUGACCCUCUUCUGCUUAGUUACAUUUAUCCUGAUGAUCAGCUACCUGGUAGCGUAGGAAAAGAAUGUGCCUGAGUUUUAUGAUGAUUAAGUUCAGAAUUGCUGUUGCAAGAAAUGGAUUUAAUUACAUACCUGAUGGCCUUUCACUGAAGUUACCAAGAUAUCAUCAAAAGGGUCAGGGCAUCAAAAGGGUCAGGGCAUGUAUUUUCUGUGCAUCAUUUAUUGUGCCUUUGUUGUUUUCUAAUGCUUUAUUGACUCUUUGUGUAAUUAAAUUUUCAAGUUAAUGUAGUGGUCUACACAAUAUACUGGCCCCGAUUGAAUGCUGUUCUGUGCUUCGCAGAUGCAGUAUUGUUUGAAAAUUAAAUAAAAGAUGUCAUUCCUUGUG